rnacentral:rRNA from 1 species
UACGUAGGGGGCAAGCGUUGUCCGGAAUCAUUGGGCGUAAAGAGCGUGUAGGCGGCCCGAUAAGUCCGCCGUGAAAGCCCAGGGCUCAACCCUGGGAUGCCGGUGGAUACUGUCGGGCUAGAAUCCGGAAGAGGCGAGUGGAAUUCCUGGUGUAGCGGUGAAAUGCGCAGAUAUCAGGAGGAACACCAGUGGCGAAGGCGGCUCACUGGACCGGAACUGACGCUGAGGCGCGGAAGCGUGGGGAGCAAACAGG